GACGAACGCUGGCGGCGUGCUUAACACAUGCAAGUCGAACGGAAAGGCCCUGCUUUUGUGGGGUGCUCGAGUGGCGAACGGGUGAGUAACACGUGAGUAACCUGCCCUUGACUUUGGGAUAACUUCAGGAAACUGGGGCUAAUACCGGCUAGGAGCUCCUGCUGCAUGGUGGGGGUUGGAAAUUUUCGGCGGUUGGGGAUGGACUCGCGGGUUAUCAGCUUGUUGGUGGGGUAGUGGCUUACCAAGGCGUUGACGGGUAGCCGGCCUGAGAGGGUGAACGGCCACAUUGGGACUGAGAGACGGCCCAGACUGGUACGGGAGGCAGCAGUGGGGAAUAUUGCCCAAUGGGCGGAAGCCUGAUGCAGCAACGCCGCGUGCGGGAUGACGGCCUUCGGGUUGUAAACCGCUUUCGCCUGUGACGAAGCGUGAGUGACGGUAAUGGGUAAAGAAGCACCGGCUAACUACGUG
rnacentral:rRNA from 1 species